rnacentral:sRNA from 1 species
UUCGACGAGUACGGUUACCGAGGUCCCU